CCUCUUGCAGGGAGAAUGCAGGCUGUGCCAGCAGGGCAUGGUGGAAGGAAGCAAAAUGCAUGUUUCCUUCUGCCACCCCUUUUCCCGGCAUACUGGCUGCCACGAUGGAGGGACGCAGGAGGGAGCUGAAUGGGAACUGGAUAUUGCGUACUACCUUGGCCUGGCUAUUCCAGUUUGUAACAUGAUCCUCUGCUUGCUAAAGAACCUUACUAUGGCAUAAGUGGCACUAUUUAUGGAUUCGUUAUUACUCAUUGUGAGGAAUGGCAGCACAAUCUAACCCUGAGACAUGUGAAAGAGCUGCAAAUGUUAUGAAAAAAAGAAAAUACAAGCAUUAAGCCCAUCUAGAAGCAUCCUCAGACUCUCUACCAACACAUGUUCCAUCUGGAAGUCCCCUAAAGAACAUGAAGCUGCUGUAAUGGAGGAGGAGAGAACACAAUGGGAAGAAGGAGCAGUGUGGCAUUUUGCUGCUGUCGGAGCAAUCAGCAAUAUCAAUUGAGCAUCUCAUCUCCAGGUCCUUUCAAUACAUGGAUGCCCUAGGGAUUGGACACAGCGACUCUGAUGCACUGGCAGAAUUCUCCAUCCAGCCUGCAAAAAAGUUAUUCAUUUCAGGGAACGGGGAUAAUCCUUUGCUGCAAACAGAAAGCCUGCAUGUGCUGUACUUAUGUGGAUAGACUGAGUAGCACUAUGGCUUAUGCAGCCUUCUGGAUUGGAGAGUGGGGAACCUCUUGCUUAGCAUCUAAAUCAAUAUCUAACAAUCUUAUAGCUACGUUGGAAGGAAAAGUCAUAAGGGUUGGUACUUUGAGCAAGUUAACAUGUACGUACAUGUUCAUCAGUGUGACAAAAAAAAGAUGGAAAAAAGGCAUCAAUACAGAUAUGAAAAGAUGGGGAGACUUCAAAGUUGCACAAACCAAUUAAGUUGGGCUCAAUGCUUUUCUAGUCAAGACUCUUCUUCCAGAGCAACUAAACCAUUUUCUUCUUAAAUAGUCUUGCAUGCUGUGAUGUUCCUAUAUUAAUGUAUAUAUGGUAAGUGUUGUUGUUUAGAAGAUACAUGGUAAGUGGAGUGAAAGAGGGGGAGUGAAUGGGCAGUAGAAUGCGAGAUGAUUGG